rnacentral:rRNA from 1 species
CCCUUAGAUGUUCUGGGCCGCACGCGCGCUACACUGACGCAUUCAGCGAGUUUUUCCUGCAUCGAAAGGUGUGGGUAAUCUUUUGAACCUGCGUCGUGAUGGGGAUAGAUUAUUGCAAUUAUUAAUCUUCAACGAGGAAUGCCUAGUAAGCGUGAGUCAUCAGCUCGCGUUGAUUACGUCCCUGCCCUUUGUACACACCGCCCGUCGCUCCUACCGAUUGGAUGGUCCGGUGAGGUUUUCGGACUGGCGUGAGUCGGAGCAAUCUGACAAACACCGGAAAGUUGAUUAAACCUUACCAUUUAGAGGAAGGUGAANUCGUANCA